rnacentral:rRNA from 1 species
AUUGAACGCUGGCGGCAGGCCUAACACAUGCAAGUCGAGCGGAGCGGCGGACGGGUGAGUAAUGCCUAGGAAUCUGCCUGGUAGUGGGGGAUAACGUCCGGCAACGGGCGCUAAUACCGCAUACUAUCAGAUGAGCCUAGGUCGGAUUAGCUCGUUGGUGGGGUAAAGGCCUACCAAGGCGACGAUCCGUAACUGGUCUGAGAGGAUGAUCAGUCACAGUGGAACUGAGACACGGUCCAGACUCUUACGGGAGGCAGCAGUGGGGAAUAUUGGAAAAUGGGCGAAAGCCUGAGCCAGCCAUGCCGCGUGUGUGAAGAAGGCCUUCGGGUUGUAAAGCACUUUCAGCGGGGAGGCGUUACCCGCAGAAGAAGCACCGGCUAACUCCGUGCCAGCAGCCGCGGUAAUAC